rnacentral:misc_RNA from 1 species
AAAUUUAGAUGUUAAUGUUGAUACCACGUGGAGGGUGAUGGGGAGCUGCAUUAAGAAAGUAUUAGUGAUAUACUUGGCAUAUCCAAAGUUAGAGGACCACACUCACAAGAGUUUUCGUAGUGGAAUGAGUAGGUUCAAAAGGUAUUAAGAUGAAAAGAGAAUGGCAUAAAAAGUUAUCAAUGACAAGAGACUUAGAGACCUUUGAGAAAUAUAAGUUGGCAAGG